rnacentral:rRNA from 1 species
GUAGGGAAUAUUGGGCAAUGGAAGGAAUUCUGACCCAGCCAUGCCGCGUGCAGGAAUACAGUCCUAUGGACUUUAAACUGCUUUUAUUAUAGAGUAACCUGGGGGACGUGUCCCCCACUGCAAGUAUAUAAUGAAUAAGCAUCGGCUAACUCCGUGCCAGCAGCCGCGGUAAUACGGGGGAUGCAAGCGUUAUCCGGAUUUAUUGGGUUUAAAGGGUGCGCAGGCUGAUCGGUAAGUCAUGGGUGAAAAGUCACUGCUUAACAGUGAUCGUGCCUAUGAUACUGCCGGACUAGAGUUUAAGAGGUGUAACUGGAAUGUGAUGUGUAGCGGUGAAAUGCUUAGAUAUGUCACAGAACGCCAAUCGUGAAGACAGGUUACAAACUUAAUACUGACGCUCAUGCACGAAAGCGUGGGGAUCAAACAGGAUUAGAAACCCUUGUAGUCC